UCUCUCUCUCUCUCUCUCUCUCUCUCUCUCUCUCUCUCUCUCUCUCUCUCUCUCUCUCUCUCUCUCAGGUAAGUAAGGCCCCAGGUGUUCCUUCCUUGCACUUUAUUCACCUGGUGCAGGUUGGCGCCGCGUACAGGUAACAGUCAAGGUGUGAACAGGUAAUAUACGUACACGGGCCGAGAUUACACGUACACACAUAGGCGCACACACAGCCUCCUACUAGCAUAGCCUACGUACAUACAUACACACAAUAUGGGGUUAGAAUACAUACAUACGACACGACACAGCCUACGAUGAUCUAUGUAUACACAGAAGCAUGUACACACACACACACACACACACACACACACACACACACACACACAUACAGGUAUACACACAUGGGUUUACAGGUAAGGUUUAAGGGAUCAUUGACACUGUGCGCACCUCCGUAUCCUUUGUUUCCAUGGUUACCUUUCCCCAUGUGCUACCUGUAAUUUGAAUGUCCAGGUACACACACACACACACACACACACACACACACACACACACACUAAAGGGCACAGUAAGGCAAAAAGUACACAUGAUAAUCGAAAAUGUGAGAGAGAAUGGUCCGAUUACACACACACACACACACACACACACACACACACACACACACACACACACACAUACAUACACACACACACACACACACAACACCAACACCCGACAAAUGGUAAAGGACCCAUCACAACACCAUGAUAAGAGGAUAGACUCACUUAACGACUCCUUUAAUUACUUCUCUUAUUAAUUACAUGUUCUUACUGGAACGAAGAAAACCAACCAAUCAAGACAGUUUAAAUAUACCCUUUUGUUCACCCUCUAAAGUCUCCGUUUUCUCUGAUACUUCGUGACUGUUUUUUAGAGGGUAGCUAAACUACAUUUAUAUAUAACCAGUUUUCUCUUCGCUAUCCUCUUCUAGACUAGCAUAAAGCUCUCACAUAAUAGGACCAACUAGAUAUAAUAAUAUGUUCUCUUACUUUACAAUUAACUGUACAUUGAUACGAGUGGAGGAAUAGAAGGAGGAGAAGGAGGAGGAAGAGGAGAUGGAGGAGGAGUAGGAGGAGGAAUAGAUGGAAAGGGUAUGCCAUUCACGAAUAAAUAUACAAGUUUGGCUACACGAACGUCACUAGAAAGUUAAUUAGACAGGUAUACAGGUAAGUAGGCAGACAGGGGCAAAGGUAGGUAGGUAGGUAGGUUGGUAGGUAGGACGAGGGCUAAUUAAGGUAUCAUUCAUAACAGUCAUUAGAAGAAGGGUAUAAUAAUCACAGAUCUAUUAAUAGCUUCAAAUACUCUUCCCACCUGGCGAGAGUCGGUAUACAGUACCUCACUAUAAAAGUCACCGUACACUAAACUGACCGCCUUAAGCCCCGCCCACUCUUCCAAUGUGGCGGGAGCUGAUUGGCAGGAUGGAAGGAGGGUGGAGUUAGGAGGGUGAGGAAGGGGGCGGGGCUUAUGGACGAAGUUUAGUAUACGGUGACUGUCGCCUGAUUUGAUAAACGUCGUAUUAGUCUUCAGUAACAACAGUGUGGCUGAUUUGUCUUUUCUACCCCGUUUUUCAAGGCACUGUUUUGAGCGCCACAACCUUCAUACUUUUUUCCUAUUUAUCCUAUUUACUCCUCACCUCCUAUUAUUUUUUCCGUGGUUGGUUCUAUUGAUUUUUUUCUUUACUAUCAAUUUCCACGACUGAGUUUGUAGCAUCUCGACUUAUUCAUCAAAAAUAAAGUGGCUUAUUUGUCUUUAAUGUCCCGUAUUUCAAGGCAUCAUUAGUUGGUUCUGUUGAUUUUUUUCUUUACUAUCAAUUUCCACGACUGAGUUUGUAGCGUCUCGACUUAUUCAUCAAAAAUAAUGUGGCUUACUCGUACUUGUCUUUAAUGGCCCGUUUUUCAAGCUGGUUCUGUUGUUGUCGAUUGUGAAAAUUCCAACACUUUUAACUAACUCCGUCCUUUAAAAUGGAAGUACAAAGCCAAACUAACUAUGGGACUGUUGAUAAGUACUACGAUUGAGUCUGUAAUAAUUUUGUCGACUGAACCCUGUGAAAAUUCCAACACUUUUAACUAACUCCGCCCUUUAAAUGUAAGUACAAAGCCAAACUAACCAUUGGACUGUUGAUAACUACUACGAUUGAGUCUGUAACAUGUCCACUUGACUCUGUGAAAAUCCAACACUUCGAACAAGCUAAACUCCGUCUCAAAAAAUGGACCUAAAAAGCCACAGUAGCCACAUAACUGUUAAUAAACACUAAUAGGACGUUUAAACAAUCUGGCGUAUAAUUCAACUCAACGCUUCUUGGUAUUACUGAUUCUACUUUUACUCUUUAUUAUUGCUGUUUAAUGGGGGGUUUAGUGGGCAACCUUUCGUGACCUCCCUGCGCGCGUGACCUGACCUGACCCCGCCUAGAGGCCCAACAACAACAGCAGGAGCAGCAGCAGCGGCGGCGGUAGCGGCGGCGGCGGCAGCAACAACAACAACAACAAGA